ensembl:lncRNA
UUCAUAACAGCAGGUAAAGGAGACCUUUAAGAUCUGGUACUCUUUUGACAGCAACUCUUAAGACGCUUCUGUAUGUUGCAGGUAUGAAAUAUUCCUUUGAGGAAGCAGCGUGCUGCCCACUGGAGACUUUGUGUGUAAGUGAAAAUUGUGAGAUCUACUGGAGUAUGGGAAAGGAUGCCUUUAUGUUUCAAGUGGGCAGGAAGUUCAGAGAAGAAAGCAGGAGAGAAGAGAUUCAGGAUCGUAUCAGCUCUCCUAAGUAGCAGUUCACCAGCACAAUCAGUGGAUGUAUUACUCAUAGACAGCCUUGCAUGCAGGUAUGCCAAGAGGGAUCCCAGCUUGCACGAAAGCUACCACUCUAUCUGGGCCUCACAAAGAAUGUUUUGGCUUUGGGAUGAAGAAGUAUCUCAAAGAGAUGAGGGUCCUUCUGAAUCUGUGUUUUCCAAGCACCCAUUUCACUGCUGCUGUGAGGACACCUCGCCACUCUCAGCAUUGUGGGCGUUGUGCUUCUAAUUGGUACAUUGUGAAGAAAAUGGCUGCUGCCGCAAUGGAGAAAACAUGGUGAUACACAGCAAAGUGUGAGUUGUCUAUAUCGCUUGGCUUACAGCUCCACAAGUCAAGCCCAUUCUGGUAAUUUUGAACUUUUGCAAUUCCCAGGGAAAUGUUGGCACAUUGACAUCCAUCAGCAUACUAAGAUGGUCAUUUUUGUUUUGACAUUCUAAUUCUAACAUUGAUUACUGUCCUAAUACUAAAUGCUGUACAACAAACACUCUAGAUCAGGAUAAACUACACUGAUGUGUAAGUCAUAUAUAUGUGUCAGGAAGGCAAAAAUGUAUAUAAAACAUUCAGAGGUCAUCCUGAUAAAUAUUCUUCACCAAAAGCAAAGAGAUGCCUUAGUGAAUUUUGUAUACAUCAACUCCAAAUAUUUUUUUGCAUUGCUGAAGC